GUCCCCUUCGUCUAGAGGCCCAGGACACCGCCCUUUCACGGCGGUAACAGGGGUUCGAAUCCCCUCCAGGACACCGCCCUUUCACGGCGGUAACAGGGGUUCGAAUCCCCUAGGGGACGCCA
rnacentral:tRNA from 1 species